CCUACGGGUGGCAGCAGUCGAGAAUCAUUCACAAUGGGGGAAACCCUGAUGGGGCGACGCCGCGUGGGGGAAUGAAGGUCUGCGGAUUGUAAACCCCUGUCAUGUGGGAGCAAAUUAAAAAGAUAGUACCACAAGAGGAAGAGACGGCUAACUCUGUGCCAGCAGCCGCGGUAAUACAGAGGUCUCAAGCGUUGUUCGGAAUCACUGGGCGUAAAGUGUGCGUAGGCUGUUUCGUAAGUCGUGUGUGAAAGGCGCGGGCUCAACCCGCGGACGGCACAUGAUACUGCGAGACUAGAGUAAUGGAGGGGGAACCGGAAGUCUCGGUGUAGCAGUGAAAUGCGUAGAUAUCGAGAGGAACACUCGUGGCGAAGGCGGGUUCCUGGACAUUAACUGACGCUGAGGCACGAAGGCCAGGGGAGCGAAAGGGAUUAGAUACCCUAGUAGUC
rnacentral:rRNA from 1 species